GCGUCCGUAGCUCAACUGGAUAGAGCACCGCCCUUCUAAGGCGGGGGUUUGGGGUUCGAGUCCCUACGGACGCGCCA
rnacentral:tRNA from 1 species